rnacentral:rRNA from 1 species
AUGAACGCUGGCGGCGUGCCUAAUACAUGCAAGUCGAGCGAACGGACGAGAAGCUUGCUUCUCUGAUGUUAGCGGCGGACGGGUGAGUAACACGUGGAUAACCUACCUAUAAGACUGGGAUAACUUCGGGAAACCGGAGCUAAUACCGGAUAAUAUUUUGAACCGCAUGGUUCAAAAGUGAAGGACGGUCUUGCUGUCACUUAUAGAUGGAUCCGCGCUGCAUUAGCUAGUUGGUAAGGUAACGGCUUACCAAGGCAACGAUGCAUAGCCGACCUGAGAGGGUGAUCGGCCACACUGGAACUGAGACACGGUCCAGACUCCUACGGGAGGCAGCAGUAGGGAAUCUUCCGCAAUGGGCGAAAGCCUGACGGAGCAACGCCGCGUGAGUGAUGAAGGUCUUCGGAUCGUAAAACUCUGUUAUUAGGGAAGAACAUAUGUGUAAGUAACUGUGCACAUCUUGACGGUACCUAAUCAGAGAGCCACGGCUAACUACGUG